AAGUCGUAACAAGGUUUCCGUAGGUGAACCUGCGGAAGGAUCAUUACCGGAGGGGGGGAGGUUUUAACCAUGUUGCUAUGACCGUGAUAUAUACGCGUAAAAGGAGAAGAAUUAAAAUUUCAACCUUGAUCAACUUGGCACAAUGGAUCUCUCGGCUCUG
rnacentral:misc_RNA from 1 species